rnacentral:rRNA from 1 species
GACGAACGCUGGCGGCGUGCCUAAUACAUGCAAGUCGAACGCAGUGGGGACGGGUGAGUAACACGUGGGUAACCUCCCAACAGAGGGGAUAACACUUGGAAACAGGUGCUAAACCGAUACUGAUGGAUGAACCCGCGGUGCAUUACCUAGUUGGUGAGGUAACGGCUCACCAAGGCCACGAUGCAUAGCUGACCUGCGAGGGUGAUCGGCCAACCUGGGACUGAGACACGGCCCAGCUUCCUCCGUGAGGCAGCAGUAGGGAAGCUUCGGCAAUGGAGGAAAGUCUGACCGAGCAACGCCGCGUGAGUGAAGAAGGUGUUCGGCUCGUAAAACUCUGUUGUUAGAGAAGCGGUAUCUAACCAGAAAGCCACGGCUAACUACGUGCCAGCAGCCGCGGUAAUUC